rnacentral:rRNA from 1 species
CUACCCGGGUUUCUAAUCCCGUUUGCUCCCCUAGCUUUCGCGCAUCAGCGUCAGAAGAGGUCCAGCAGCUCGCUUUCGCCACCGGCGUUCCUUCCAAUAUCAACGCAUUUCACCGCUCCACUGGAAGUUCCAACUGCCCCUACCUCCCUCCAGCUGACCAGUAUCCAAGGCACUUUUCCGGUUAAGCCGAAAGAUUUCACCCCAGACUUGAUCAACCGCCUACGCGCCCUUUAAGCCCAGUGAUUCCGAACAACGUUCGCACGGUUCGUCUUACCGCGGCGGCUGGCAC